rfam:Oryza nivara chromosome 6, whole genome shotgun sequence.
GAUAAAUGUAGUUUUGUACUGUUCGUAUCCAACUUUAUCGGUUCAUUUUAGAAAUUUUUAUAUGAUUAGUAUUUGUAUUGUUAGUAGAUGAUAAAACAGAAAUAUUACCUGAUGUGUGACUAUUUUUUUUAAUUUUUUUAAUAAAUUUUUUAAAUAAGACGGACAAUUAGACGUUGGACACAGAUACUCACGGUUGCACUUAUU